GAUGAACGCUGGCGGCGUGCCUAAUACAUGCAAGUCGAGCGGACGGACCAGAAGCUUGCUUCUCUGAUGUUUGCGGCGGACGGGUGAGUAACACGUGGAUAACCUACCUAUAAGACUGGGAUAACUUCGGGAAACCGGCGCUAAUACCGGAUAAUAUUUUGAACCGCAUUGUUCAAAAGUGAAAGACGGUCUUUCUGUCUCUUAUAGCUGGAUCCGCGCUGCAUUAGCUAGUUGGUAAGGUAACGGCUUACCAAGGCAACGAUGCAUAGCCGACCUGAGAGGGUGAUCGGCCACACUGGAACUGAGACACGGUCCAGACUCCUACGGGAGGCAGCAGUAGGGAAUCUUACGCAAUGGGCGAAAGCCUGACGGAGCAACGCCGCGUGAGUGAUGAAGGUCUUCGGAUCGUAAAACUCUGUUAUUAGGGAAGAACAUAUGUGUAAGUAACUGUGCACAUCUUGACGGUACCUAAUCAGAAAGCCACGGCUAACUACGUG
rnacentral:rRNA from 1 species